UAGCCUCACGGGUACGCAUAGUGCUGG
rnacentral:piRNA from 1 species